rnacentral:rRNA from 1 species
UACAGAGGUCUCGAGCGUUGUUCGGAUUCAUUGGGCGUAAAGGGUGCGUAGGCGGCGAAGUAAGUCGGAUGUGAAAUCCCGGGGCUCAACCCCGGAACUGCAUUCGAUACUGCUUCGCUCGAGGACUGGAGAGGAGACUGGAAUUCACGGUGUAGCAGUGAUAUGCGUAGAUAUCGUGAGGAAGACCGGUGGCGAAAGCGGGUCUCUGGACAGUUCCUGACGCUGAGGCACGAAGGCCAGGGGAGCAAACGGG